AGUGCGGCUUGUAACACCUGGCGAUUCUGACCACCUGCGGUGGUCUAGCCCCCGGCGCAAUUCCGGUGGGGACAGAUUGAAAUCGGAGCCCAGGGAAAGCCGCUCU
rnacentral:sRNA from 1 species